UAGUUUGAUCCUGGCUCAGGACGAACGCUGGCGGCGUGCUUAACACAUGCAAGUCGAGCGGUAAGGCCCUUUCGGGGGUACACGAGCGGCGAACGGGUGAGUAACACGUGAGUAAUCUGCCCUUCACUUUGGGAUAACCCUCGGAAACGGGGGCUAAUACCGGAUAUGACCAUUGGCGGCAUCGUCUGGUGGUGGAAAGUUUUGGCGGUGGAGGAUGAGCUCGCGGCCUAUCAGCUUGUUGGUGAGGUAGUGGCUCACCAAGGCUUCGACGGGUAGCCGGCCUGAGAGGGUGACCGGCCACACUGGGACUGAGACACGGCCCAGACUCCUACGGGAGGCAGCAGUGGGGAAUAUUGGACAAUGGGCGGAAGCCUGAUCCAGCAACGCCGCGUGAGGGAUGACGGCCUUCGGGUUGUAAACCUCUUUCGCCCAUGACGAAGCGAGAGUGACGGUAGUGGGUAAAGAAGCACCGGCCAACUACGUGCCAGCAGCCGCGGUAAUACGUAGGGUGCGAGCGUUGUCCGGAAUUAUUGGGCGUAAAGGGCUCGUAGGCGGUUUGUCGCGUCGGGAGUGAAAACUCAGGGCUUAACCCUGAGCCGGCUUCCGAUACGGGCAGACUAGAGGUAGGUAGGGGAGAACGGAAUUCCUGGUGUAGCGGUGGAAUGCGCAGAUAUCAGGAGGAACACCGGUGGCGAAGGCGGUUCUCUGGGCCUUACCUGA
rnacentral:rRNA from 1 species